GCCAUGGUGGCGCAGUGGUUUGAGCACUGGACUAGGACUCUGGAGACCAGGGUUCGAAUCCUGGCUCGGUUG